ACUGCUCAGUAACACGUGGCUAAUCUGCCCUUAGGACGAGAACAACCCCGGGAAACUGGGGCUAACUCUCGAUAGGCGAAGAACUCUGGAAUGAGUCUUCACCUAAAUAGUUCGGCGUUAUGCUCGUUGGACCGCCUAAGGAUGAGGCCGCGACCGAUCAGGUUGUUGGUGAGGUAAUGGCUCACCAAGCCUUUAACCGGUGCGGGCCGUGGGAGCGGGAGCCCGGAGAUGGGCACUGAGACAAGGACCCAGGCCCUACGGGGCGCAGCAGUCGCGAAAACUUUGCAAUACACGCAAGUGUGACAGGGCUAUCCCGAGUGCCAUCCGCUGAGGAAGGCUUUUACCCAGUCUAGAACGCUGGGGGAAUAAGGAGAGGGCAAGUCUGGUGUCAGCCGCCGCGGUAAUACCAGCUCUCCGAGUGGUGUGGAUGUUUAUUGGGCCUAAAGCAUCCGUAGCUGGCUAAGUUAGUCCCUUGUUAAAUCCACCGAAUUAAUCGUUGGAUUGCGGGGGAUACUGCUUGGCUAGGGGACGAGAGAGGCAGACGGUAUUUUUGGGGUAGGGGUGAAAUCCUAUAAUCCCAGGAAGACCACCAGUGGCGAAGGCUGUCUGCUAGAACGCGCCCGACGGUGAGGGAUGAAAGCUGGGGGAGCGAACCGGAUUAGAUACCCGGGUAGUCCCAGCUGUAAACGAUGCAGGCUAGGUGUUUGGACGGCCACGUGCCGUUCUAGUGCCGCAGGGAAGCUGUUAAGCCUGCCGCCUGGGGAGUACGAUCGCAAGAUUGAAACUUAAAGGAAUUGGCGGGGGAG
rnacentral:rRNA from 1 species